rnacentral:rRNA from 1 species
GGACGGGUGAGUAACGCGUGGGUAACCUACCCAUAAAGCCGGGACAACCCUUGGAAACGAGGGCUAAUACCGGAUAAUCUUGGAUGUUGGCAUCAACAUUUAAGGAAAGAUGGCCUCUGAGUAUGCUAUCGAUUAUGGAUGGACCCGCGUCUGAUUAGCUAGUUGGUGGGGUAAAGGCCUACCAAGGCGACGAUCAGUAGCCGGCCUGAGAGGGUGAACGGCCACACUGGGACUGAGACACGGCCCAGACUCCUACGGGAGGCAGCAGUGGGGAAUCUUCCGCAAUGGACGAAAGUCUGACGGAGCAACGCCGCGUGUAUGAUGAAGGUCUUCGGAUUGUAAAGUACUGUCUUUGGGGAAGAACGAUUCCUUUGAAAAUAUGAGGGG